UUGAUUUCGUUGGGGUGCCCGAACGGGCUGAGAGACGCGAAGAUGCGUCAACCCACUGAACCUGAUCCGGGUCGUGCCGGCGGAGGGAACGAAUGAUGCGCCGCA
rnacentral:ncRNA from 2 species